rnacentral:lncRNA from 1 species
GAUACCAAGUUCAAUUUUAACGAAGCUCUUUUAGUUCCAAGAAACAGACACAGCCAGACCAGUCUGAAAAUUUUUAUUUUCUGAAAAAUGUAACUUGUAAGAACACACGUAGAGCAAAAGGGAGAAACUUGGAAAUUUUUACGCAAGUAAGCCAGGCUGAACCUCCUAAUGCAUGAGGACUGGGCUGGUCCUUGUUUCACAGGGUGGACUCUAGAGUCGUCCUUGCAUCCCAGAAUUUGAGACCUAAUCCAUGAUUAAUCUUGAAACUGCUCCAGUGUGUUUGAGAGAACAGGCAUUCUCUAACUGACGCAAAGUUGUAUAAAACACCUAAGUAAAACCAUUCUUGAAAGGACACAUGAACAAAUUGAACCAGUCAGAGGGGAAAGAUCAGGAUGAUGAAGUGACUCAGAAAUCAGAUUAUUCUCUGAAGGACAUACUUAAAACUAAAAGAUGUUGGAUCUCCAAUAUGAAUUUGUGAUGUCCCUCUUCAUGGAGAGCUGCCUGAAGCUGAGAAGGGUGCGACGGACCUGAAGGCUGCACAGCGCCGGGUCUUACCCAAGGCUCAAGGUGACCGCUGCCUGGUUUCUGCUGGUGUUUAUUCAAAGCCCAAGGGCUCUCCAGUCAGCAAGUGGUGAAUCUAGUCAGACAUGUGUCCUACGCUUCAGGGCAAUGAGCUUCCCCUCAGCCUAAGGUGAGUCUAUGAUUGCCCUCUGGGAGUCAGGGCUGAAGUCAGAAAACUCUGGAAUGUAUUUGGUGCGCUGUUCUACUGUGGCCGAGUUGUUACCCAAGCUGCAAAUCAACGUUCUUUCCACCCUUCCCUCUCCUUUUCUCAUGCAAAGGAAGUUGUCUCUUGUGGCCACCACUGCUCCAGACCUGUGACAAUUACUGCUUGGCUAUUGCCGAUGUUCACUCAAGGCCCAAGGGCUCUUCAGCCAGCUGGGUUGAAUGUUGCCAGGCCUAGCUCUCUCCCUUCAGGACAAUAGGCUUCUCUCUGGCCCCAGGCAGGUCCAGAAAUGCUGUUCAAAAGCUAAUGCCUAGAACUGGGGACCCCGGGAGGCUGCUUGGUGCUUUACCCCUCUGUGGUCGAGCUGGUACCUAAGAUGCAAGACAAAGUCACCUUUACUCUUUCAUCUCCUUUUAAAAGCAGGAGUAUCUUCUCAUGUCUACCAGAGCUGGGAAUGGAGUGGUAACAUUUAAAGCCAGCACAACCCUGGGUCUCACCCAAGGCCCACAGUGAAAACUUCCUGGGUACCAUUAAUUCUUAUUCACGGCCCAAGUUCUCUUAGUUAGUAGGUGAUGAAUCUUGCCAUGACUGGGUUAUUCCAUUCAAGGCAGCAUGUUCCAUUCUGGCCCAGUGUGUGUCUAGAAAUGUCAACUGGGAGCUGGGGCCUGGAACAGGGGCCCCAGGACUCUGCCUGGUGCCCUAUUACACUAUGGCUGAAUUGGUAUCCUACUUGCAAAACAAAGUUCUCUUUUUUCCCUUCUCCUUCUGAGCUGUGAGCUGUGCUGUCUGGGGUAAGGGGCAUGGGAGAAACAAGCACUUCUAGGCAUCUCCAGCUGGUACCUCACUAGGUCAUGUGCACUCAAAAUCCACUGGUUCAAGCCCAGCACGACAAAAAAAACUUGCUCAGGAAUUGCAGUUGUUGUGGCAUAGUCUCUGCCUUUCAAGUUUAUUUAUGACCCUAGAACACUUUAUCCUGCAGUGGUGGUGCUAACCAGAACUCAGGUUCUGACCAUGGGGUUAGGUGACUCCCUUCUGGCUGGGGCUAGUCUAAAUUCUACCUCUGGGGGCGCUGGCUGAAUUCUCUCUCACGUUGCUUUCCAUUUGACAGGGCAGCACUGAGUUCCAACAUAAAAAGUUCCGCAAUCACUGCUCUAUCUAUCCUGCAUACACACAAAUUCUCUUUCUGCACCACAUGGCCACCUCCAGGGGAAUAGGGGACAGGUUGUGUCAUCCAUUCAAGACUAUCUUUCCUACACUCUCUUCAGUGCUUCUUUCUUUGCUAUGAUGUUAAAACCAGAUAAUAUGAUUGCUCACUUCAUGUUUGGUUCUUAUCAAGGUUCUUUCUUGUGUGGAGAGUUGUUCAAUUUGGUGUUCCUGCAGGGUGGAUGAUCACUGGAGGCUUGUAGUCGGCCGUCUUGCUUUGCCUCCUCCUGUUUAUUUACUUCUGGAAAGAACUCCUCCAUCAUAUCUCUUUCACCUCAUACAUAAUAAAAUAGUUUUAGGAUUACAAUAAAUUAUUACAUAAAUAUUCAGUAGGCUCUAAAAAAUACAGAUGGAGUCUCACUAUGGUACUCAAGCUGGUUUUGAACUCCUGGCCUCAAGCAAUUCUAUUGUCUUAGCUGCCUGAGUAACUAGACUUACAAGCACGAGCCACCGUGCCAGGCUAUUUUUCAUUAUUGCUUAAAAAUCUUUAUUGUAUUCUUUGAACUAAAGUAUAAUUUUGAACACACACAAAAUUUAUAUAUUUGACGA